rnacentral:rRNA from 1 species
CUGUAAUUGGAAUGAGUACACUUUAAAUCCCUUAACAAGGACCUAUUGGAGGGCAAGUCUGGUGCCAGCAGCCGCGGUAACUCCAGCUCCAAUAGCGUAUAUUAAAGUUGUUGCGGUUAAAACGUUCGUAGUUGAACUUGUGCUUCAUACGGGUAGUACAACUAUAAUUGUAGUUUGUACUGUACCUUAUGUAUGCAAGCGUAUUACCGGUGGAGUUCUUAUGUGUAAAUACUUUAUUUUCCUCCUAUUUAAACCUACUUCAGUGCUCUUCAUCGAGUGUUGUUGUGGGCCGGUACAAUUACUUUGAACAAAUUAGAGUGCUUAAAGCAGGCUCCAAAUGCCUGAAUAUUUUGUGCAUGGAAUAAUGAAAUAAGACCUCUGUUCUACUUUCAUUGGUUUUUAGAUCAAGAGGUAAUGAUUAAUAGAAGCAGUUUGGGGGCAUUAGUAUUACGACGCGAGAGGUGAAAUUCUUGGACCGUCGUAAGACUAACUUAAGCGAAAGCAUUUGCCAAAGAUGUUUUCAUUAAUCAAGAACGAAAGUUAGAGGUUCGAAGGCGAUCAGAUACCGCCCUAGUUCUAACCAUAAACGAUGCCAGCUAGCAAUUGGGUGUAGCUACUAUCAUGGCUCUCUCAGUCGCUUCCCGGGAAACCAAAGCUUUUGGGCUCCGGGGGAAGUAUGGUUGCAAAGCUGAAACUUAAAGGAAUUGACGGAAGGGCACCACCAGGAGUGGA